GUUCUUGCCAAUUCAUUUACACCACUAAUUAUCUUGCAGAAAUAAAAGUGCUCCAUGAAGGCUUAGAUCCUGGAUCACAGACUGCAGCUCCACAGUCACACCUGCCCGUAGGAAUUUUAACAGUGUUCCCCAGGUGCUGCAAUUGGGUCAGCAGCUCCACCAUGGGGCUCAUGUGGAAGCUGGGCAGCUUCAGCACAGCUGGCAGCAGACACCACCCUGGGUGCAGGAGGGGAACGUGUAUUUAUCAUCUCCAGGCAGACUAUGGAGCAGGAGCAGUUCUGUAUAAUGGCUUUUCUGCAGCACAGUUCCCUAUGGCUGGAAGCAAGGGCAGGACUGCCAACGUUACCAUGGAAACCCCCCAAAAAUAAAGACUUUCCCAGCCUUGUGAGAGCACACCUGCAAGGGCAAGAACGACAGUUAGCCUUUUGCCUGUCAAAAGCAAAUCUCCUUCAUUCUUGAUGUCACCUGAGGACGUUUUUUACCCUCGGACUGGAGCUUCCUGUUGUACACAUGACAAGCUUUCAGAGAAGAAACCUGGUGGUUAUGAGAGGAAACUUCCACGGAACUACACAGGUACUGGCAGCAGGAGUGGUCGUUCACACAGGGACAGCUCACUGCCACUGUUAACAAAAUCCCCAGCCCAGUCACGGUGUGGUGAAUCACUUUUGGCUGAACUUAGCAGCUUUAAGUAUGAUCAAAGUCAAGAAUAUUUGCAGUCAGUAGGAUUUCUGUACAUCACAAGGGAAACAUUUUGCUAACAAAUGCUGAUUCAAAUGUUGUACGUUCCCACUGCUUCAGUUUUUGCUCUCGGCUAAGUAGAUGAAUGACUAUUUAGUGUUGCUGCAUAGCUGUCAGACAGCAGUUGUGUUUCAGCAUUAGUUGGGGAGCAUUUCUAUGCAUGCAUUUGUGCUCAAAAUGACCAUUAAGAAUUUUGUUGUACGUGUUCACAGACACUCUUUAAGGUGGAUUGAUGUUGCAGAUGGGAGUAAGAGUUGAAUGCUCCCAUGAAGGUGGGUGGGAGCCCCGAUGGAAAUCAGAUUAAACUGGAAUAACCUUACCAGUAUUCUGAGUUAUUCAGUGGCGAAUCUCAUGGAAACUGCAGAUAGAUUAAAUGCCUGGGAAUUACUAUUCAGGGUCAAUUUUUUGAGGAAUCAAGUACAGAAAUGAAAUUAAUUGUAGAGGAAAUUGUGAACUGGCAUAGAUUUCAGCUCUGUCAUCAUAAAAUUAUUCCUGAUCCUUUGUCUGGAUGCUCCGUGUGAGCUGCCGUUCCCCCUCCUAGUGUUAAAAUCACCUCUUUUGUUUGUGCAUGCUUUUUGGAAGUGAUGAGAUUGAAACAGCAUUAUACCACUUCAACUCAAUAGGGAAUGAUUGCAACUGAAAAGCAUUUAUUUAUUUGGUGUGAAUCAUUCUGUAUUGCAUUUCAGUUCCAUUCUGAAGGGGAGCUUUGUUUGUCUUUUAAAGGUUUACUUAAACAUAAGAGGAAAGGAGAACCAGUCCCUGGCACAUUUAUUUUGCUAAUACUGCUGACGCAUACCUCACUUCAUAGUGCUGACGUCUUACUAAAGGACAUCCAGGACAGUUUCAGCUAUUCCAGUGUUUAUUUUUACUACAUCAAGUCCUUGCCGUUGGUUAUCAGGAUGUUUGUCAGUGAGAAAGAGAGAUAAUAAGGAGAUACUAGCAUUAAAGAGAAGGCUACAAAUAAAGAUGGUAGGGUUUGCUGUGAAUGUCAGUGUUUAUGGGUUCUACCUUGUUAGAUGAGCUAGAUGUUAAAUAGUUUGGUCUAAAAAACUAAGCUCAUGUUCUAUGGAGAAAGUUGCCUCUUGAAGAGGACUUAUGUGUUAUGAAGAGGAUAACAAUAUUAUGGGAAAAUCCAAGCUAGAGACAAGGAUACACCCUAUUCCACUUAGUUUAUUCUAGUUAUGUUUUUCAGGCCACUUGAGAGAGAAGAGUACUUAGCAUAUGUAGAGCAAGGCUCCCUUCUGUAUUACAGCAUUCAUACUCUGCUGGGAAAAGUUAUGUUGCAAGGUGAGCUACAUGAGUCUGUACAUAAAUUCUCAGAGGCUCCUUAAUUGCUGACACGCACAUGGCCAUACUGACAGCAUCUCAGCCCAGCCAUGUGAAGUACGGGAUCUGCAGCGUUCAAAACCAAUCUGUUUUAACAUCAUGAUGCAACAUUUGUGCACAGGGUUCUAUCAAACCUGUGGCCUCAUCCAUGGAUGGUUCUUUUUGAGACCUGCAGGAGUUUAGUGACUCUCAUUUCAGAAGCCCCUCUCUAGUCCCCACCUGAGCUGGUGGGUGGGUUCCAAUCACACAAAUGGAUGGAUUACUGAUCAGUUGUGUUGUUUGGCCAUCUGGCUGUAUGGCUGCUGCCAGGCUCAUUCUUCAGCUUGAUGACCAUAAUGAUUUUGGCAACAAUUGUAGCUGCUCCCAUUCAUUCUUUCAAUAAUUUCCAUUGCCCUUGCCAAUUAUUUUGAGGAUCUUAGUCUUUUCUUUCAGAGCAAUGUGUUUUCAUGUUUCACGACCUCUGAAUGCUGAUUUAUGUAAGUAAGUCCCUUUGCGGGUGCUGUUCUUGGAGCAAGUUUUACACAGAGCCUGUGCUUUUGAACUAGCUAGUGACAAAAUGACUCAGACAAUGCUGCUGUAAAUAACCUUUCUGCAGACAGAGAAUGAAAAAGAGAAAAGCCUCAGCUCUCCAUUUUGCUGGACAGGGCACACACACACUAAGCAUACAGUCAGACAGAAAAAAAAACCCAGACUUAUAGGAGCACUGUCAGUAGCAAAUUCCAGCUGUUCCCUUGGAUAUAGCAUACAGAGGGACUCCCCGCACAGAACUGGCUUCAGCUGCAUUUUAUUCUAUGGUUUUGUCUAUUUUUAGUAUUUUGUCAGCCCCAACAGGCUGAAACAGACAUCUUCUUGUGUAUUUUAAGCUGAAAGAAAACUCAGUGAACACAUAGCGAGUCUAUACAGGCAUCCAGAAAUAAAACUGGCAUUAUAGGAUAUGAAACUCCUUGCUCUUGAAGCAUUGUUAAGGCUUAUUCUGUUAAGUUCAUACAGGCUGUCCAGCUCACAUCUUAGCCCACUGGGGAAAAAAAAAAGAGUUCCCAAACGUGCCUGAAAUACUAAACUACUCCCAGGAGGGAAAACCUAAACAAACAAUAUCCCCCUCACUGAAUACAUCCAAUCCUUCCCUAAUUUAAACAGCCACUAACACUGUUAUCACCUUCUGCCAGCAACCCUCUUUUGUUGUUCGGAAGGAAGGCUUAUGCUGCUUCCAUAAGUUUUUGCCACCUCUGUAUGUUGCAUGCCUUGAACACUCAACCAGCUACUGGGUGCUGCUGAGUCUUAAAGAGACUGACAUAUGUAGAAAGGGAUUCUAUAUCAAAAUGCUUCUGCAUUAAGGCUGUGUGGUGACAGGUCAUUACGUCACUGCCAGUCACUUGUGCCAUCCUUAACAUAACGGGCCAAACAGCACAAAGAGUUUAGCAGAAUGCAUUCAGAAUGAGAAGCUGCCUAUUAUUAACAUAUACUGGUGUAUGUACAUAUCACAAUAAAGCAGAUGGAGUAUCUCUAAUUACCAUCUGUAACUCAUGAAAUUAGGGCCUGCUAGUCUUAGAAUCUUGAUACAAGAGGUUAUAUUAGUAAUCAAAGCGGUACUUGGAGAAAAUCAUCAGUUACUACCAGAAAUAAAAGCAUUUCAGAUGUCAUUUCCUUGAAUAUGUCCUUAAUAGUUUCAAGUCUUUGAAAGCAUGUUCCAGCUACUCCCCAUCACACAGCUGCACUGACUCCACGCUCCUUGGAUGCAGUUCAAAUCUUGUUUUCAGUAUGACAAGAACUUUUGUCCAUACUGCAGUCCAGCAACAAGAUGCAUGCCAAUAACCAGACAAUGAAAAUACCUUAGCAAACAGGCAGGGUUCUGGAUCCUAAAGCCUUAAAGGCUGGCUAAUCUUUCAACACAAACAGGCACAUAGCUCUACUACUGGAUGCACAGUUAAACUAUACGUGAGAUGAUCACUCCCAGAAGCACGUUUUAUGACAGGACCCAACUUCUCCUGCCCAGGUUGCCAAUGCAGACAGAUUGUUAAUUAGUGCUGUGUCUCCUCACAUCACAUCACAUCUGGCUCUGUCUGAAAGGCUGCAGGACACCUUAGCUGCCUAGCCUCAAACAUAUCGCUUCAGCACAAAGGCAGCUGAAACACAGGGAGGUGAUGGGGCCAAGUAAUGCCCAGAGCCUGCUGGCAUUGCAGCAUAAGGAUUAGAUGCUCGGAGCAAAGUUGAAUAUUCUCUGAGUACGUCAGUUUGCUCAUCAGCCUGAAGUUUGCUCCAGGGGUCUAAUAGGAAAUUUAAUUCAAAGCAGUUGUGAAGUUUUUUCUAGGACGUACUCAUCUCACCAAGCUUCCUUAUCCACCAGAUCAAGGAAACUGCACAAAAUGACACACAGGUAUGCACAGUUUCAUAGCAAAUGCAAAUGUGCACUUUAAAUGUGAUGUAAAUACAGUGGAUUGCAUUCAAGCAUGCUGAAGGUCUACUUAAAGACCAGCAUUUGCUUUUCUGAAAUGCAUACGUAAUUCAUAAUCACCUGCUAACUUCAUGAAGCUCUUUAUGCUUCAAGGCUGAGAGACCUGUAUGUGAUAUACAUCACAAUCCCCAAAGAAUAAUGGCAAAAGAAAAUAGGAAAAUUCAUUCCUUAUCGAGAUGACUUCUCUGAGGCUUCAAGGACAACUUCCAAUUGAAGCCCUACAGAAGGGCUGAUCUGUGGAACGUGACUAAGGCUCAGUAUUACCACAGCAUAUGUCAGUCUGAUGAGGUGCCUACAGCUCUGCUCCACCAUUACAAACAUGUAACACCUCUGAAUGUAGUAGUUCGUCUGCCUUGAAAAUUAAGUUUGUCUUUUAAAGUGCAGCAUGAUCUUGUAGACAGAAGGAGAAAGAGAAAAAAAACAUUUAUCAUUCCUUUGCCAGGCAGUUUGGUUUGAAAGAAACCAGAUGAGUUGUGCAUCAUUCAUCUGAGGAACAAAUCUACUCCACAGAUUUGUCUGAGAGACAAGUGAGUGCAAUCCAAAAAAGCUAUCCAUUUCAGAAUGGGAGGCUUGAAUUCCAUCCAACAGCAAAAUGCAUGCUGAGUAGCAUCCAUUUAUUCAGGACAGUAAUGGCUUCUUUUAGAAGCACAUCGCCUUCAUCAUUUGUGUUAAACAUGGCAUAUAUACCAACAAAAAUUCCCGUAUCUGUGAAUGCAGGCUAUCUGCCAGCUCUACAAAGGGAAUUUUUCUUUUUUAAACAGCUACUGAGCUAGGGCUGUUGCCUGCAGAGCAGAUUUUAUAUGUUCAGUCUACUGUGAUCAUCAGGUCUGAGUGCACAGUAACUGGAAUUCGUGAGCCUUUCCAAGUCACCUCCUGAGUAAAGCCCUGAACAGACAGUCCCAGAAGUGAAGUAAGGAACAACUUCUCUCCCCGCCCCUUUGGGCAGUUCACAUUCAGCAAUACCUAAAACAAGAAAAACACCUAGAUCCACUUCACUGGGACUGACAGAAACAGAACGGAAAUGAGAAACUGAUUAAGUGGUGAGCCAGCUUUACUUGCAGUUUUCUUCCCUAAUGUGUUUGUUUGUUUUUUUUUUUAACACUUCUUCAUUUUUGCUUGUAUUCCAUUAAGAAAAAAAAAAAAGGAAAAAACUUGGCUCACAAGUUCUCAGUGCCUACACAGAUGAAAGCUGUGAGAGGCCUUAAAUGACUUCAGCAGGAAACUACUGGGAAGGGGAGUGGUCUGUUUUCUGACAGUCCCAUUACACAUUUCUAGGAAAAAUCUUUUCAAGUUCUGUGUACGAAAACGAAACAGGAUUACAGCACUGCCUCUCUUGGAGACGAUCUCAACAACACUUUUCCUGCUCCCAUGCUGGAUUGCUGCAAAGUAAUUCCCUUUUUCCUCCCUCCUCUUCUCCAUCUAUCUCAGGAUCUCAGGCUUAGAAAUAGCGCUUUAUGUUGAAUGAGGUUUUAGACUCAACACACUCAAUGUCUGGUCAAGGUUUCUUUCAGGUAACCUUCAAGAAUACUUCAUUCUACAGCUGCAUUCCCAAAUCCAUCCCAUUACCCAAGCCCCUCACACAAACUGUUUAGUGAGCUCAGGAGUUUUCCACUUAGUAGCGAUGACAAAGCACUGGACUACUGCGAAACCCAUGACAGAGGAGCUGAGCAAUAGCAGACGCCAGCCAAAUAGAUCACUGAGGUGGAAGGUCAUCCUUGAACUCUAUUUCCAUUUUUCCCCUCUUGGUAAAUUGCUCUGGGAACAAUCCUCUUUUCUAGCAUAAUGUAAUCAAGAAUUAGAAAGUCACCAUCGCUUACGCAGCACAGCAAUUCCUGGCCUGACUGACUGUGCUGGGAAUUUCAGCUGAUGUCUCCACCCAAGCAGCAUGUGGAACCAAUGUAAUGGCUAACACAAUUCAGAGCUUAAAAUGGAGUGAUGCUGCAGUUCCAGCUGGUCUUGUAAGUCAGUACGAGAGAUUUUUGGAAGCACUGUAGGAGAAAUAGAAAUAACAGAGGUGAGGAAUGGCUUCUAGUCUGAUGAUGCAAGAUAAAAGCAAAGUAGACAGCAUUACACAGCACCAUGCUCAGAACCAAGGCAGCAUGGGAAAGAAGUGCAUUAUUUUUAUCUCUGCUUUUAGAACAGCCACAGCCUUUUACAUAUGGAAAGGUGAUGAUAUGUAAGAGCCUAUGGGUAAAAAAAGAAAGCUUUCAUUCUGCUGAAGAAAAUAGGUUUGCUGUGUGAGCUAGGCAUGGCCUGAGUGCCCUUAACAGGUACUGAGACUCACAGUACAGUGCUCUGCAAAUCCCCUUAUGGCCUGAGAGCUGCAUCUCCCUAUGCAUCAGCUAAAUCCAAGCUAAGUCUAGAAAGGCCUUCUCCAUUAUUGAGAAGUGACACAUACUUUUUGACCAAAUUUCUCAGGACUCCCUAGUCUUAACAUGCAGAGAUCCAGAAUCCCUGACAAGGCUUGAUGAAAAGGGUUAAUCUUACCCUCAAAUAUACCCCAGUGUAGGUUCCUGCCUCUAAGCAGUUCUUAAUUGGCUGCUAAUUCUGUAAUUUAAUGAGUAGUUACUAUUUAAGUAUUUUAGUCUUUUGCUAUGUAAUUUGGUAGACCUGCUGCCUACCCAGUGCCCCUGCUUUGUGAUUAACUGUCUUCCCAACAGCACCUGCUGCUCUUUGAUGGCAAGAAAUACUGUUUUGUAGAGAAGUCAAGCCACAGUCUUCAGAAGGAGUCUCCUUUGCAUGUAUUUAUACCUGCAUACCUAAUCCUCUGCAUCUACCACAACUGGACUGAUUUUCCCAGGAUUUCAGGGAUUCACUUCCACAAAGUGUAACUUCGCAGAGAAGAACACACAGCACCUCACAGAUCACAGCCCUAAGAAGGAUCCCAAGCAGCAACUGCAUAUUCUGAAAAGUCCUCUCCAACCCACCAGUAUUUUCAAAGGAAAAGGGAAAACAACAGCAAAAGCUUCAAAGAGGUGAGUGAAUUAUUUCACCCCCUUACAUGUGCAACGCGUUCUCUCCUUUACAGUGACACAGUACAGAAAACAAGAUGUAAUUAAAGCAGUUCCUUUGCCAAAUGCGAGGGACCUCAUAAAGAAUUGACACACAAUUCUGAUUAGAGCUUUCUUGUCUUAAACAAAACUAAACUUAAUAUAGGAUGUAAUGCAAACAGAAUCAUUCAACGAUUUUUUAAAGGCAAGAGACUGCAAAGUGCUGAGCCUGUAAUCAAAGGAAUGCUCAAGUUUCCAAAAUAGCAAUAUUGAAGGAAACAGGGAUUUUUAUGUAGUACAGUACAAGCCAUCAUGCAAGAGAACCAAAAAGCAUUUGCCAUUUUACCUUAUAUACCACGACAAAAAAGCUUUAGUCUAGUAUGACUUUUUCUCUGGUCUAUCCAAAUGAACAAGUCUGUUUCUAGCCACAGACCAAACGAAAAGCUCACACGUUUCAGAAUGUGAUUUUGAAAUUUAGGAUGAAAAUUGUUUUUCUAAGGAAGUGAUUUUCAUUCUGUUAUAUUAUAUUGAAACUGUCCAUACAAGGCAGAUAGGAAGAGAAUCGGACAAAUCCACGAAGCAGGGUUUUGUUUGUUUGUUUUUCAGUUGGAGAAAAAAUUAAGGCAAAUUAGAAUCAAAAUGAAAAUUAAAAAUCUGUAGUAAUACAAGCUAAGCAUGAGGUAAAGUUCACCAUUAACGUGCAAAAUUUUAAAAGGAGGCUCAAGGCCCACUCAUAAAAGAUUCAGCAAUAAAUAGACUUUACAGCGCAGUGCAAAUCCAGAUGCUGUCUCUCUCUCACUGUACUCACGUUGCUGAUUAACUGAAUGCACAUCAUUAGCAGAACAGCAGGGUUAAUUCAAAGAGAGCCAGGAAACGCCACACGAAGCCUAGGUGCUGUUCUGUUGAGCUGCAAGAACUUUGCUAGCCACUAACCUAUGUCUCACAGUAUCCAGCUAACUCAGCACCAUCCCUACUAAAGAACACCCCAUAAAUACCUGAGGUCAGAAUUCCCUUCCUUCUGAAUAGCGUUAAAGCUCUCUGACAAACUGCGUGCGAAACACAGUUCCCAGGAAUAUGGAUUACAGACAGCUCUUCAAGAUGUAUUUUGAAAGGAUGGAUGUGGUAUUGAGGUGGCUGGAAGUUGCAUAUAGAAACAGCAAGAGCAGGUAUAUUUGUAAUGCGAGCUGAACCUCAAUUGGCAUGAACUAUCUUUAAGUACGCGGCCUGUAUGAGGAUAGCAUGCACACAGUACAAAGGGAUCUCUGUUCCACAUCUGGGUGUUGUACCAGGAGCAGAGGGCGGAGGGAGGGAGGUGAAAUCUGUGAUUCUGAUGGGAAGGAAAGAUGCAAGAUGCUGGCAUCUGGCAACCAUAAGAGCAAAUGAGGUAGAGCUGGCCCCUGGCUGCCUGCCAGCUAGGGCGUGUGCAGGGAUCACAAGAGCUGGUAACCCCCACUGGGAGGUCAGGAUGGUAGGAACAGAAUUACAGCACACUGUCCUACUUCAACUGAAAACUUCCAACUUUAGAGAGCGUAACUCUACCAAAACAUUCUAUGAUUAAUUUUAAAAAGGUAUGCAGUCACGCUUCAUCACAAACGACCAGGUCCACAAAACAUCCAGAUCUAGAGGUCUGGUUACAUUCACUGGGAGUUCAGCCUUUAAAUACCCUUACAGUUCCGACCAAAUAUUUUAAGUUGGACUUUUCCCCUCUUUUUUAAGCACGAGGUACAGCCCUCACUUUGAGACAACUCUCUUUCUCUCAUGACGUUUUUCAGACUUGCAUUUCACUGCAACUCUUCACGAGCACUGCAGCCUGCAGUGCCUUACCCAGCAGCACUAUCUCUGAAGUUUCAAAGAUAGUACUGAUGUCUCUCUGCAGUUUGUACCACUCACUUCAGCUGCUCAUCAGCCUGCUCCAGUGCUACCAACUCCACUUACAGGCUGUUGAGGCAAACUUCUCUAAUAUGACAGUCACAGGACAAGACGAGAUUACAGAUUCUGAAUGAAUUACUGCUUAAACUCAGUACUAAGAACAUUUUAAGCAGCUACAUUUGCUCAUAGAUUCUCGCAGUGCUGAGGUCCAAUCUCAGCUUUUUAAAAAGCAAGCUUUUAAUUAUGAGACGAGAAACAAUAGCUUACUUCAACAUGAAAAAGAAUACACCCACUAUUUUUCCAUGUUCUGUAAUUCAAAAAUAGGUCAACCCAUUAACUUUAAAGCUUUCGAAAAGAUCUAAACUGAAAUAUAAGGUUCAAUUUCCUUUUUAUUUUUUAAGCCAGACUCAGAGAUUGAAAAGUUUCAGACUAAUGGCUACCUUAAGGUAAUAAAAGGGGGAAAAGUUUUUGAAUUAUGGAUCUAACAUUGCCAGAACAGAUUGAUUCCAUAGUAAAUUUUUAAACAGAGAGUAAAUUUUUAAACACAGAUUAAAUUUGAAACAUUUAAAUAAGACCAUCGUAUUAACUAUGUGGCAAUUCAGAAGUGCCAGAGGGCCUAUAAUUUGUCACACUGCACAUACAGACCUCCCUGGCUUUUCUUUACUUUAUUCUAUAGGGCACCCAUUUAGAAUGCAAACAGGGGCCAAAGCGCACCUGAGCAGCAUGCCUACCAACUCAAGAGACUUCCUAUAUUUAAUGUGAACCAGACAGAACCAACACAUACUGAAAAAAAGUGAUCAGAAAAUCACAUUGUUUUUCACUCCAUACUUUAAAAACGUAACUCUGGAGGCUAAAAUUAUUGUUUUGACCCUGUUCAGCAGUUAAUGACAACAGAAUGACAACAGAAGUAUAAUCAGCAGAGCGUUGAUCCCCAGCGUUUCUAGGAACUUUCUGCGAGAGCUGGAGGAGCACCUUGUAUAGAUGGUGUGAAAUAAGGUCCCUCCAUGCAUCGGUCACAGUGCACAACAGGGACCGGUUGUCAGGAACCACUCCUAGUGGUGCACCUGAGUUUCAACCAAAGGAAGUGACACAGCUUCUGAAAUGCAAAGGCUAACCAGACCAACCCUGGUGCUGUUGUUCUGUGCUUCGAGACCCAGUGAACUCAAAUGACUGAAUGGACUGGAGAGCGAGGCGUCCCAGAGGGCUGAGGAAUAAAAGCAGCUCCAAACCACCCUAUUAUGAGUCCAGUCUGGUAUCCCUAAGGGCUCCCAGUGCCAAAGGUACGAUUCACUGGAAGCCUCAAAGCAAUCUGUGGCAAUGAUGACUCUCGAUGUCAAGCCUCUCCUCCUGACUGCUUCAUGGAAAUGUUCAGAGCAUAGAGGUGAGAGACACGGGAGCUACCACAGUCACUCACGCUCAUCCAAAGGCUGACUGAACAAAUUCAGGCAUCGAGCUGCUUACAGCAGCCUAGCAUACCACUGAACCACACCCUUCAACUUAUUUCCAGAAAUCCUAACAUGACUGUAGUCUAAGACUGUCUUGGGGUUUCCAUCUGAAGUUCAGAACCUGUAAGAAACGCUACUGCGGCAUUCAGGGCAGUGUUCUGCGCUUUUCAGGAUUCUUUGUCCUUAGGCUUCAGUAGAGUCCUGCUGCUCAAACAAACUCAAAGAAAAACUGCUGGUUUAAAAUACUGCUAAAAAAGUCAAACCCUCCAAAAACUAACUUCUUGGAGAUAUCCCAUAUUUGCAGUCACUUCAUCCUGAACUAAUUUGAUUUUAAAAGUAACGUUAAGCAAGUUGCCAGUUAUUACUUCUGAAGUAUUUAUUUUUUUGUUGUUGUUGUUGUGGGAGGAAAAGAAGGAGAAAGGGAGGGAGAAGAGAAAAAUCAAGCUAUUUAGCUUUCUAACUAUUUAACAUAAAACCCAAAAGAGCUCCAUCUGGCAGCCAGCAGGAUUUCUAAAUAAUCUAAAUAGUAUCUACAUAAGAACCAGGCUGUCUGUAGAGUAAGACAACUUCAACUUUUACAGCCACAAGAAGCCUUUAUUAACAUAAAAGGAAAUUAUAUAUAUAUAUUAAAAAAAAUUAAGUCUG